UUAAGCGACUAAGCGUACACGGUGGAUGCCCUGGCAGUCAGAGGCGAUGAAGGACGUGCUAAUCUGCGAUAAGCGUCGGUAAGGUGAUAUGAACCGUUAUAACCGGCGAUUUCCGAAUGGGGAAACCCAGUGUGUUUCGACACACUAUCAUUAACUGAAUCCAUAGGUUAAUGAGGCGAACCGGGGGAACUGAAACAUCUAAGUACCCCGAGGAAAAGAAAUCAACCGAGAUUCCCCCAGUAGCGGCGAGCGAACGGGGAGCAGCCCAGAGCCUGAAUCAGUAUGUGUGUUAGUGGAAGCGUCUGGAAAGGCGCGCGAUACAGGGUGACAGCCCCGUACACAAAAAUGCACAUGCUGUGAGCUCGAUGAGUAGGGCGGGACACGUGGUAUCCUGUCUGAAUAUGGGGGGACCAUCCUCCAAGGCUAAAUACUCCUGACUGACCGAUAGUGAACCAGUACCGUGAGGGAAAGGCGAAAAGAACCCCGGCGAGGGGAGUGAAAAAGAACCUGAAACCGUGUACGUACAAGCAGUGGGAGCACGCUUAGGCGUGUGACUGCGUACCUUUUGUAUAAUGGGUCAGCGACUUAUAUUCUGUAGCAAGGUUAACCGAAUAGGGGAGCCGAAGGGAAACCGAGUCUUAACUGGGCGUUAAGUUGCAGGGUAUAGACCCGAAACCCGGUGAUCUAGCCAUGGGCAGGUUGAAGGUUGGGUAACACUAACUGGAGGACCGAACCGACUAAUGUUGAAAAAUUAGCGGAUGACUUGUGGCUGGGGGUGAAAGGCCAAUCAAACCGGGAGAUAGCUGGUUCUCCCCGAAAGCUAUUUAGGUAGCGCCUCGUGAAUUCAUCUCCGGGGGUAGAGCACUGUUUCGGCAAGGGGGUCAUCCCGACUUACCAACCCGAUGCAAACUGCGAAUACCGGAGAAUGUUAUCACGGGAGACACACGGCGGGUGCUAACGUCCGUCGUGAAGAGGGAAACAACCCAGACCGCCAGCUAAGGUCCCAAAGUCAUGGUUAAGUGGGAAACGAUGUGGGAAGGCCCAGACAGCCAGGAUGUUGGCUUAGAAGCAGCCAUCAUUUAAAGAAAGCGUAAUAGCUCACUGGUCGAGUCGGCCUGCGCGGAAGAUGUAACGGGGCUAAACCAUGCACCGAAGCUGCGGCAGCGACGCUGAUGCGUUGUUGGGUAGGGGAGCGUUCUGUAAGCCUGCGAAGGUGUGCUGUGAGGCAUGCUGGAGGUAUCAGAAGUGCGAAUGCUGACAUAAGUAACGAUAAAGCGGGUGAAAAGCCCGCUCGCCGGAAGACCAAGGGUUCCUGUCCAACGUUAAUCGGGGCAGGGUGAGUCGACCCCUAAGGCGAGGCCGAAAGGCGUAGUCGAUGGGAAACAGGUUAAUAUUCCUGUACUUGGUGUUACUGCGAAGGGGGGACGGAGAAGGCUAUGUUGGCCGGGCGACGGUUGUCCCGGUUUAAGCGUGUAGGCUGGUUUUCCAGGCAAAUCCGGAAAAUCAAGGCUGAGGCGUGAUGACGAGGCACUACGGUGCUGAAGCAACAAAUGCCCUGCUUCCAGGAAAAGCCUCUAAGCAUCAGGUAACAUCAAAUCGUACCCCAAACCGACACAGGUGGUCAGGUAGAGAAUACCAAGGCGCUUGAGAGAACUCGGGUGAAGGAACUAGGCAAAAUGGUGCCGUAACUUCGGGAGAAGGCACGCUGAUAUGUAGGUGAAGUCCCUUGCGGAUGGAGCUGAAAUCAGUCGAAGAUACCAGCUGGCUGCAACUGUUUAUUAAAAACACAGCACUGUGCAAACACGAAAGUGGACGUAUACGGUGUGACGCCUGCCCGGUGCCGGAAGGUUAAUUGAUGGGGUCAGCGCAAGCGAAGCUCUUGAUCGAAGCCCCGGUAAACGGCGGCCGUAACUAUAACGGUCCUAAGGUAGCGAAAUUCCUUGUCGGGUAAGUUCCGACCUGCACGAAUGGCGUAAUGAUGGCCAGGCUGUCUCCACCCGAGACUCAGUGAAAUUGAACUCGCUGUGAAGAUGCAGUGUACCCGCGGCAAGACGGAAAGACCCCGUGAACCUUUACUAUAGCUUGACACUGAACAUUGAGCCUUGAUGUGUAGGAUAGGUGGGAGGCUUGGAAGUGUGGACGCCAGUCUGCAUGGAGCCGACCUUGAAAUACCACCCUUUAAUGUUUGAUGUUCUAACGUUGACCCGUAAUCCGGGUUGCGGACAGUGUCUGGUGGGUAGUUUGACUGGGGCGGUCUCCUCCUAAAGAGUAACGGAGGAGCACGAAGGUUGGCUAAUCCUGGUCGGACAUCAGGAGGUUAGUGCAAUGGCAUAAGCCAGCUUGACUGCGAGCGUGACGGCGCGAGCAGGUGCGAAAGCAGGUCAUAGUGAUCCGGUGGUUCUGAAUGGAAGGGCCAUCGCUCAACGGAUAAAAGGUACUCCGGGGAUAACAGGCUGAUACCGCCCAAGAGUUCAUAUCGACGGCGGUGUUUGGCACCUCGAUGUCGGCUCAUCACAUCCUGGGGCUGAAGUAGGUCCCAAGGGUAUGGCUGUUCGCCAUUUAAAGUGGUACGCGAGCUGGGUUUAGAACGUCGUGAGACAGUUCGGUCCCUAUCUGCCGUGGGCGCUGGAGAACUGAGGGGGGCUGCUCCUAGUACGAGAGGACCGGAGUGGACGCAUCACUGGUGUUCGGGUUGUCAUGCCAAUGGCACUGCCCGGUAGCUAAAUGCGGAAGAGAUAAGUGCUGAAAGCAUCUAAGCACGAAACUUGCCCCGAGAUGAGUUCUCCCUGACCCUUUAAGGGUCCUGAAGGAACGUUGAAGACGACGACGUUGAUAGGCCGGGUGUGUAAGCGCAGCGAUGCGUUGAGCUAACCGGUACUAAUGAACCGUGAGGCUUAACCUU
rnacentral:rRNA from 1 species